rnacentral:rRNA from 1 species
UACGAAGGGGGCUAGCGUUGCUCGGAAUUACUGGGCGUAAAGCGCACGUAGGCGGCUCUUUAAGUCGGGGGUGAAAUCCUGGAGCUCAACUCCAGAACUGCCUUCGAUACUGAAGAGCUUGAGUCCGGGAGAGGUGAGUGGAACUGCGAGUGUAGAGGUGAAAUUCGUAGAUAUUAGGAAGAACACCAGUGGCGAAGGCGGCUCACUGGCCCGGUACUGACGCUCAUGUGCGAAGGCGUGGGGAGCAAACAGG